rnacentral:rRNA from 1 species
GAAUUUUAUAUAAAUAAGUUAUUUGAUUAAGUUUAAUAAAUAAUUUUAGAUAUAUUUAAUUGGGAGGAUUGUUAAAUUAAGUAAACUUUAAUUAAAUUUAAAAUAUUAAUUAAUAGAUUUUAGAAUGGUUGUUAAAUUAAGUAAGAAUUAAUUACCUUAGGGAUAACAGCGUAAUAUUUUUAGAGAGUUCAUAUUAAUAAAAAUGUUUGC